rfam:Capsella rubella cultivar Monte Gargano unplaced genomic scaffold scaffold_4, whole genome shotgun sequence.
AAACCAUGGUGAGGACAUUGAAGUUAAUAUCCUUUGAACCGGUCAUAUGCUUCACUAAAAUUCUCGUUGUUCCUUUGAGUGAAACUCGAGAUCUUGUUCCUUGGCUU